rnacentral:lncRNA from 1 species
AUGGGAUUUCCCAGGCAAAAAUACUGGAGUGGGUUGCCAUUCCCUUCUCCAGGGAAUCUUCCCCACCCAGGGACUGAAACUGCAUCUCUUGCGUCUCUUGCAUUGGCAGGCACAUUCUUUACCACUGUGCUACCUGGGAAGCCCUUUUGACUCUGCAGCUUUAUUUUUUUAAAAAAAUAAUAUUUAAUAUAACGUCCAUAUUCCACCUACUUCUCACACUACCAGGCUUCCCUGUUAGCUCAGCUGGUAAAGAAUCCACCUGCAAUGCAGGAGACCCUGGUUUGAUUCCUGGGUCGGGAAGAUCCACUGGAGAAGGGAUAGACUGCCCACUCCAGUAUUCUUGGGCUUCCCUGGUGGCACAAAUGGUAAAGAAUCUGCCUGCAAUGCAGGAGACCUGGGUUAGGAAGAUCCAUUGGAGAAGGGAAUAGCUACCCACUCCAGUAUUCUGGCCUGGAGAAUUCCAUAGGCAGAGAAGCCUGGCAGGCUACCGUCCAUGGGGUCACAAAGAGUCGGACAUGACUGAGCAACUAACACAGUACUAUUGCCAGGCUCUGUUCUAGGCACCGGGAAUACAUCAGCUGGAAGAAUUUCUGCAUCCUGCAGACACAGAGGAAGAGCUCCCGAGACCCCUGCAUCGCACGGUUCCUUCCUGCUGCCAGCAGUUUGGGAGGCAAAAGCAUCUGUGUCUCAGAGGAUUUGUUCUCCCAUCUCAGCCCCCCUUUGGGAAAAGCCGUUUUUCUCGCCUCUCAGAAGUGGAGGGACACUUCCUUGGGAAAGAGAGAUGAUCCUCCAUCCAGCUUUUUCUGCUGGGAAAGGAGCAUUGUCUGGAGAAAUUGUUCCAGCUGGGGUUCUGCUGAGGUUGUCAGAGGGUGACACUGGGCUUGGAGUCUGGAGAGAACACCUUGAAUUUAUAGAAUUUCUCCUUUCCCUUUAAAAAGGCUUCUUCAGAAAUCGCCAGCUUUUGAGAGCAGAAGACACAAAUCAGGCAUCUUACCUGCACCUAAAUCUCUCCAUCUGCGGCCAACCUGGGCAGACCCAAGGUUUCCUUUCAGACCCAUGAAGAGGUUGCUAUGGAUUCAAGAACAAUGGGAUGAUUUUUUUUUUUUUUCCCCUCAAAGAGUUACGCAAUUUUCCAGCUGCUUCUGGAAGUAGCAGCUCUCCACUGAGCACAUUUGGGUCAGGUGUGGGGUGAGGUGGGGAUGUGGCAUUGCUUCUGGCUUUGGUUACUUUCUGUGAAAGAAUCAUCUUCUUCACCCUAAGGAUAAAACUGGAAGACAAAUGCCUUGGGAUCCUUCUCAGUAUAUUUCAUGGUUGUGGUAUGGUGGUGUCAUCUGUGGGGAACUGAUGUCCUAGCAAAUUUUGCUUUAAUUUUAUCAUUUAUAGAACUGGGAGAUGGGAAUCAACACAUUUUAAAUAACUUCUGCAUGCCAGGCACUAUGCUGGAUGCUUUGCCAUGCCUUAAUUCAUUGAAUCUAAACUCCUGAAUCUUCAAAACCAUUCACUGAAGUAAGCACUUGGAUGAGUCCCCCUAUAUAAAGGAGGAGAACUGGGUGCAGAGAGGGGAAGUGACUUGCCUGAGGUCACACAACUGUUAAGAUGUGGAGCCUGGAUUUAGAGCCAAGUCUGUCAGCAUCUAAAGUCCAUGUUUUUUCUAUUCUGUCAUGCUGCCAGAGAGGCAUUUUAAUGUUUAGCGAAAUGACUAACUGAGG